ACGAACGCUGGCGGCUGCUUAACACAUGCAAGUCGAACGGAGUGGCGAACGGGUGAGUAACGCGUGAGCAACCUGCCUAUGACAGUGGGAUAGCCUCGGGAAACCGGGAUUAAUACCGCAUAGUCAUAGAUGGGCUCGCGUCUGAUUAGCUAGUUGGUGCGAGAACAGCGCACCAAGGCGACGAUCAGUAGCCUGUAUGAGAGGAACAGCGGCCACAUUUGAAGUGAGAAACGGUCCGAAAUCCUACGGGAGGGAGGAGUGGGGAAUAUUGCACAAUGGGGGAAACCCUGAAGGAGCGACGCCGCGUGAACGAAGAAGGUAUUCGUAUCGGAAAGUUCUGUCCUAUGGGAAGCAGUACCAUAGAAGAAAGCUCCGGCUAAAUACGUGCCAGCAGCCGCGGUAAUUC
rnacentral:rRNA from 1 species